UUGAACAUUUCCACUACAAGAAAAUUGGCAUUUAGCGACGGACAUUCUGCGGCGGUUACGCAUAAACCGCCGCAAAAUGUAAACUUGAGGCGUUUUUUCAGGCGGUUAAGCAAGCCGCCGCAGUUUUCAUACAAUUUGCGGCGGGUUUUGUUUCAAUUAGUGGCGGUUUGCUUGACAUUUGUGGCGGUUAUUUCAGGGGCAGUUCAACCAGGCGCCGCAGAAUGAUUAAAUUAGAAAACCUAAACCCCUCCUAUCGCGUUUCACUCUCCUCUACCUCACUUCGCGUUUCACUCUCAGCCUCUCUCUCAUAUCGCGAUUUUCACCUUCACCUCAAGCGAUUUUCAGAAGCACGAAAACCCACCACACCUUCACCUCACUUCACGUUGAACCCACCACACCUUCCCCUCUCAGAUCACGAUUCUUCACCUUCACGUUGAACCCACCACUUCACUCCCCUCUCAGCGAUGGCGAUUUUCAGAAGCAAAGUUCCAGAUUGAAGCUCAAUCACUGAUUGAAGGAAUUAGGGAUUUUAGGUUUCAGAUUCACAUUCUCAUCAAAACUGGUGUUCGUGCUCUCGGUUAUCACUCAGAUUUUCAUCUUGUAGCUUUGAUUGAAGUGAAUGUGGUUUCGUAACAUAGCCUAUGAUGAAACAUAGUAGCUUCUAGCGUUGAUAGUUCCUCCUCCCAUCUCUAGUUAUUUGUGUCCACUGGGUAGCUACAGCCAAUUUCAUUGAUGUUGUAGAUUCACGGGCAAGCUGGAGGUAUUUGGAUCUAGGGGAAUGAUGUUGUUUGGAAUGCUGUUAGAGUUGCCUCUUAGUUUUUACAUUUUUCUGUGGAAAGGGGUCAGUAAUGUAGUUUCUUGGCAUCUAACUGCUGUGUAUGUGAGUCCUGACUUUAUUACUAGAAGAGAAUUGUGGGCUCAGUUGGGGCUGUUGCAUAGUGAGAUACAUUGUUUAUUGGGAGACUUCAAUGCUACAUUACAUAAUUAUGAGAGAACUGGUAGUAAUGUAAUAUCAACACUGCUCCUAGGGAUUCUCAGAUAUUCCAAAGAGCGAGAUGUAAACAGUAAACUUAUUAGCUUUGCACUUGUAGACUAAUAACUCAGGGCAGAUUGGACAGGGCUCUAUGCAAUUUUCCCCUUGUGUUCUCCUUUUUCAUCACACAAGUUUCUCAUACAUAACAUUAGAGAGUGGUCAAGAUUCUGGAAUGUAGUACUAGUAUCUUUAUGAAAUGAAAAGAAAAGGGGUCAACAUUAUUUAUUUAUUAUUAUGCUAGCAGUUAUUUGGUAUUAUUCUGGAAUGUAGUACCAGUUUAUUUUUUGUGUUUA